AAUACCCUUGAAUUUUUUAUAGGAUUUAGAGUUGUAAUAACUUUGAAGUAGGUUGAUAAUGCCAUGUAGACAGAAUGUAAACCUCUUCCUUCUGCUGCUGGCUGACUCAGCAGCUUGUCACUCAGUGCUGGUUUCUUACACCUCUCUUUUCCUUUUCACUGUGUUGUCAACCUGUGUGCUCACCUGAAAACUGCAUUAGCUGGCAGGGAAAUGUCAGAAGAGAACACUGAAAAGUCUGUGGUCCAAAUGGGGAAGGGACAUUUUAUGACCUCAAUUCUAAAGGCACUGAAGCCAAAGGACAGUAAAAAAUGUAGCAGAUACAAUGUUCAAAUCCCCCUUGCACUCAUUCCCCUGUUCACUGAUGGUUGCAUCUAAAUGUUCCUGCCAAAACUAGUUGUCAUGAGGUUUACUUUUCACUUGUUUUAGUUGUCAAUAUAAGACUUUUGAAAAGAGUGAAAUUGAAAUGAUGACUUUAAAGGGCUUUCUCUGGGGGCAAAAAGUUGCUUGGGUUAAUAAUUAUGUGUAUGUUAAUUGUACCUUCAGCCUCCAUGCAGAAGCUGCCUUUGCCAGGGAAGAAUUCGGAAUUAACAUCCUGCAGAGUGUUAAUCCAAGCAGACCAGACAGACAGAGAAAUGAUUAUCCCUUACUUAUCAAUGGAGAUUUGAGGGAUUAAACCUUGGUUCCAGAGACCCAGGAUGGACAUGCCCUCUGAGGACCUCAUGUCAGAUUCCUGAAGGAUGGAUGCCUAAGCAGACCACAUCAAACCCUCCUGAAAAGAAAACUAUUUCUCUUGGGCUGGCAUUAUCACUAGAGGGACACAGGAAUGAAAGAGAGAAGCAAAGCCCAAUGACAUUGUAGGUGGCUGAACCCUAAAGAACUCUACAGGAUCAAACUGUGAACCCUAAAUAUAUCUACAGGAUCAAACUGCCUCUUCAUCAAGUCAUUUUCACAGAAUGGAGCCACUCUAGGUCUUCUUAUUCAAUAUUGCAGGUAGAGACAGGUCAGAUUAAAUCCAGUUAACACUGCAAUCUGAACAUCUCCAGAGGUGUGAGAGGAGGUUUGGCCACCAAUUUUUCUUCAGAUCCUUUGGCAUCAUUCAUUACCAGAGAAGUCACAUGAAAUAGGGUGAACUGUACAUAAACCAAAGCCGUUUCCUACCUAACAUUUUUAUCUCACUCUGUCUUUGAGGUGGGAUAGAGAUUAGACUUAAGGCUGAAUAUAGACCUGAAACAUUGUCUGCUUCUUCACCAGAACCAUUUGCUCUAGAACUGUAUCAGUAAAUGCAGGAGGUGUUUGCUUAAAUCUUGGUAUAUACUUGGUGGCUCAGCUUUCACUUACUGUUUUCAGUAAGUACAGGUAUUUUUACACAUACCAACUUUGAUACAAUACACCCUUGCUAUAAUUCUGAAAAUCUUUGUGAUGCUGUUUUUAUGUCUGUUUGCCUGAACAUCUGGUCUGCUAUAACUGGUGACAAUGUUCUACUUGAUUUUUAAAGGUUUUUAUUGAUUUAAUCUACAAAUUUAUGGGUAUCCUAUAUUCAGUAGUAACGUUUAGUAGACUUUCUACUUUUACAACUGGUUCACACUCUGUGAAAUGUUAUUAUCUUGAACUCUGCCUGUACUGGCCAAGACCCAGUGGCAUAUUCUGCAGAGAAUAGAGUAAUUGAUAUGUUGACUAUUCAGUUUUUUAUUUAUUUGUCCAAUAACACUCCUCUAUCCCUCUGGUCACCAUGAAAUUCUGCAGAACCCAUUGCUUUUCAGAUCUUGGUUUCUUAGGUGGAAUUUAAAUAAAGCUUGAUGGAAAUGCAGAGAGGAGAGAAGCCUGGCCCCAGCUGUAUGAUUCAGGAAGCCUGGACUCCAUGGCGUUAUUCCCCAAACUCAGAGUCAAGAGAAGCAAGGUUUUGAAAAGAUGUGUGUGGUUAGUAACACAACAGUUUCAACAGUGUAUUUCUACAUGUUGUAAACUGGAAAUGACCCUGUGCUGAGAACAGCUCAGAGUGUAAAAUUCAGUUUAAGAAUACUAUUCUGCCAUGGUCAUGAAUUUAAAUCAUACAUGUUGCACUGUCUUUUUAUACUAAAGAUAAUUUUUUUGACAGAGCAUGGGUUUGAAGCUGAAGAAAGGUACAAGGAGCACAACACAAAUAAGAUCCUUUCUUUUAAGUCUGUGUGAAGAAGAACCAAAGGUUUUAUUAGCUUAAUGUAACUCAAGGCUCAGUGAAAGCAGAUAAGCUGUAUUCCUCUGAAAUAAGCAUGGCAAAAAUUGACCCACCAGCAAUCACAUGGAGAUCACAUUUCAUUAAUUCUGCUUUUCACUAGGCAACCAGAACAUGAAUGCAAAACUUUGAGUCUUUACUUCAAACAUUUACUAGAAAGAUAAGACUCUUAAGUGAAGUGUUAUAAUAAAAACCCUUAUGAGAGGCAAUCAGAAGAAAGGUUAAAAAUCUAGUUUCAAGUUUUUUUAAUUUCAUGCUAACCAGAUAAUUAUUUGCAUUUCAGUUCCAUCAAGCCAUACACACUGUUUUGCCUUUGGUAAGCCAUUGUUUUACCUGGGUAUGUUUUUAUUGAUUCCUUCAACCUGGAGAUUCCCUUUGCUGGAUUUCUGCAGUAAUUGACAGUCAAGUCUGAUGACAAACUAUUGGUCUGUGAGAGCUAUUAAUAAAUAAAUGUCAACUGUUUGUGAAGUCAGCAGAGAGCUUUCUGAUCUCUCUCUCACUCUUUGAACACAAUGACAUUGCUUCAGUUUUACAGCAGUCCCUCUGCACCCUGGGAUCUGUCCCAAGAAAUUUACU